rnacentral:rRNA from 1 species
AGGUGGUGCAUGGCCGUCGUCAGUUCGUACUGUGAAGCAUCCUGUUAAGUCAGGCAACGAGCGAGACCCACGCCCACAGUUGCCAGCGUACUCUCUGGAGUGACGGGUACACUGUGGGACCGCCGCUGCUAAAGCGGAGGAAGGAAUGGGCAACGGUAGGUCAGUAUGCCCCGAAUAUCCCGGGCUACACGCGAGCUACAAUGGUUGGUACAAUGGGUAUCUACCCCGAAAGGGGACGGGAAUCUCCUAAAACCAAUCUUAGUUCGGAUUGAGGGCUGCAACUCGCCCUCAUGAAGCUGGAAUCCGUAGUAAUCGCGUUUCAACAGAACGCGGUGAAUACGUCCCUGCUCCUU